UGGCGGCACUAGCGCGGUGGUCCCACCUGACCCCAUGCCGAACUCAGAAGUGAAACGCCGUAGCGCCGAUGGUAGUGUGGGGUUUCCCCAUGUGAGAGUAGGGAACUGCCAGGCA
rnacentral:rRNA from 2 species